rnacentral:misc_RNA from 1 species
AACGAGGCCGACCUGCGGCUGAGUUACCUGCGGAGGGAUCAUUACAGAGUUAUCUAACUCCCAAACCCAUGUGAACUUACCUUUGUUGCCUCGGCAGUAGUUGCUGGGCGAGCCUACCCGGGAACGAGCUACCCUGUAGCGAGUUACCCUGGAACGACUUACCCUGUAACGCCUGCCGGUGGACUACUAAACUCUUGUUAUUUUUAAAGUAAUCUGAGCGUCUUAUUUUAAUAAGUCAAA